rnacentral:snoRNA from 1 species
GAAAAAUGAAGAUAUUCUGACUGCUUCCUGUGAUUACAGUGAAGACCUCAGAUCCAACUCUGAUUUCACUCUAGUU